AGAGUUUGAUCAUGGCUCAGAGCGAACGCUGGCGGCAGGCUUAACACAUGCAAGUCGAGCGCCCGUAGCAAUACGGGAGCGGCAGACGGGAGAGUAACACGUGGGAACAUGCCCUUCGGUUCGGAAUAACUCAGGGAAACUUGAGCUAAUACCGGAUACGUCCGUAAGGAGAAAGAUUUAUUGCCGAAGGAUUGGCCCGCGUCCGAUUAGCUAGUUGGUGAGGUAAUGGCUCACCAAGGCGACGAUCGGUAGCUGGUCUGAGAGGAUGAUCAGCCUCAUUGGGACUGAGACACGGCCCAAACUCCUACGGGAGGCAGCAGUGGGGAAUAUUGGACAAUGGGCGCAAGCCUGAUCCAGCCAUGCCGCGUGGGUGAUGAAGGCCUUAGGGUUGUAAAGCCCUUUCGGCGGGGAAGAUAAUGACGGUACCCGCAGAAGAAGCCCCGGCUAACUUCGUGCCAGCAGCCGCGGUAAUACGAAGGGGGCUAGCGUUGCUCGGAAUCACUGGGCGUAAAGCGCACGUAGGCGGACUCUUAAGUCGGUGGUGAAAUCCUGGAGCUCAACUCCAGAACUGCCUUCGAUACUGGGAGUCUUGGAGUCCGGGAGAGGUGAGUGGAACUGCGAGUGUAGAGGUGAAAUUCGUAGAUAUUCGCAAGAACACCAGUGGCGAAGGCGGCUCACUGGCCCGGUACUGACGCUGAGGUGCGAAAGCGUGGGGAGCAAACAGGAUUAGAUACCCUAGUAGUCC
rnacentral:rRNA from 1 species